rnacentral:rRNA from 1 species
UGCAGUCGAACGGCAGCGGGGGCUUCGGCCUGCCGGCGAGUGGCGAACGGGUGAGUAAUGCAUCGGAACGUACCCAGUCGUGGGGGAUAACUACGCGAAAGCGUAGCUAAUACCGCAUACGCCCUGAGGGGGAAAGCGGGGGACCUUCGGGCCUCGCGCGAUUGGAGCGGCUGAUGUCGGAUUAGCUAGUUGGUGGGGUAAAGGCCCACCAAGGCGACGAUCCGUAGCUGGUCUGAGAGGAUGAUCAGCCACACUGGGACUGAGACACGGCCCAGACUCCUACGGGAGGCAGCAGUGGGGAAUUUUGGACAAUGGGCGCAAGCCUGAUCCAGCCAUGCCGCGUGAGUGAAGAAGGCCUUCGGGUUGUAAAGCUCUUUCAGACGGAAAGAAAUCGGGCGCGUGAAUAGCGUGCCUGGAUGACGGUACUGUCAGAAGAAGCACCGGCUAACUACGUGCCAGCAGCCGCGGUAAUACGUAGGGUGCGAGCGUUAAUCGGAAUUACUGGGCGUAAAGCGUGCGCAGGCGGUUGUGUAAGACAGGUGUGAAAUCCCCGGGCUUAACCUGGGAACUGCGCUUGUGACUGCACGGCUAGAGUACGGCAGAGGGGGGUGGAAUUCCACGUGUAGCAGUGAAAUGCGUAGAUAUGUGGAGGAACACCGAUGGCGAAGGCAGCCCCCUGGGCCGAUACUGACGCUCAUGCACGAAAGCGUGGGGAGC